UACGGGGGGAGCAAGCGUUGUUCGGAUUUACUGGGCGUAAAGAGCUCGUAGGCGGCUUGUUGCGUCAGCUGUGAAAUCCCUCAGCUUAACUGGGGAACUGCGUCUGAUACUGGUUGGCUUGAGUGCAGGAGAGGAACGCGGAAUUCCAGGUGUAGCGGUGAAAUGCGUAGAUAUCUGGAGGAACACCGGUGGCGAAGGCGGCAUCCUGGACCGAUAUUGACGCUGAGGCGCGAAAGCCAGGGGAGCAAACGGG
rnacentral:rRNA from 1 species